rnacentral:rRNA from 1 species
GACGAACCGUGCGAACGUUGUUCGGAUUCACUGGGCUUAAAAGGGCGCGUAGGCGGCUUGCCAAGUCAGGGGUGAAAUCUUUCGGCUCAACCGGAAAAGUGCCUUUGAUACUGGCAGGCUCGAGGGAGGUAGGGGCAGUGUGGAACUUCUGGUGGAGCGGUGAAAUGCGUUGAUAUCAGAAGGAACGCCGGUGGCGAAAGCGACGUGCUGGACCUCUCUGACGCUGAGGCGCGAAAGCUAGGGGAGCAAACGGG